rnacentral:lncRNA from 1 species
GAGCACGUGACCCUGCAUUUACCAAUGAGAGCUUUUCCCAGGGCCUGGGGGGCUGCACCGGAAGGCUGCGCCAGUUGGCUGAGCCAGCGAGCCGGCCGGGCCGGAAGCCGGAAGCCGGAAGCCGGAAGGUGCCUUGAAUUGCCGUUGCCGCCCUGAGGGCAGGGGCCGUUGGCUGACGAGGAAACCUGCGGAGAGAGGAGAAAACCCGAGCGACGGAUUCAGACAGGGCCCCGGAUGCAGGAAGCAUGGGAUCAUGAAAGGGGAUCUGAAGAAUCAGCUGCUGAAGGAUAAGGAAGAAAUCCAAACUCUUCUCUCAUGGGAGCAAAAUCCUUCCACUGCUGUGGCAGAGUUUCUGUGGAAAGGUCUUUCAUCAACAGAACUACAAAAUUAGGAGACAUUCUGCAGGGAAAUAAAUUCCUUUCAUGUUUUAAGUACUAGAGUGAU